rnacentral:rRNA from 1 species
CAGUAGCCGCGGUAAUACAGAGGGUGCAAGCGUUAAUCGGAAUUACUGGGCGUAAAGCGCGCGUAGGUGGUUCGCCAAGUUGGAUGUGAAAUCCCCGGGCUCAACCUGGGAACUGCAUCCAAAACUGGCGAGCUAGAGUAUGGUAGAGGGUGGUGGAAUUUCCUGUGUAGCGGUGAAAUGCGUAGAUAAAGGAAGGAACAUCAGUGGCGAAGGCGACCACCUGGACUGAUACUGACACUGAGGUGCGAAAGCGUGGGGAGCAAACAGGAUUAGAUACCCCGGUAGUCCCUGUCUCUUAUAC